rnacentral:rRNA from 1 species
AUUGAACGCUGGCGGCAGGCCUAACACAUGCAAGUCGAGCGGAUGAAGGGAGCUUUCUCCUGGAUUCAGCGGCGGACGGGUGAGUAAUGCCUAGGAAUCUGCCUGGUAGUGGGGGAUAACGUCCGGAAACGGGCGCUAAUACCGCAUACGUCCUGAGGUAGAAAGUGGGGGAUCUUCGGACCUCACGCUAUCAGAUGAGCCUAGGUCGGAUUAGCUAGUUGGUGGGGUAAAGGCCUACCAAGGCGACGAUCCGUAACUGGUCUGAGAGGAUGAUCAGUCACACUGGAACUGAGACACGGUCCAGACUCCUACGGGAGGCAGCAGUGGGGAAUAUUGGACAAUGGGCGAAAGCCUGAUCCAGCAAUGCCGCGUGUGUGAAGAAGGUCUUCGGAUUGUAAAGCACUUUAAGUUGGGAGGAAGGGCAGUAAGUUAAUACCUUGCUGUUUUGACGUUACCAACAGAAUAAGCACCGGCUAACUUCGUG